rnacentral:rRNA from 1 species
CAGUCGCCACGGUAAUACGUAGGUGGCAAGCGUUGUCCGGAAUUAUUGGGCGUGAAGGGCUCGCAGGCGGUUUCCUAAGUCUGAUGUGAAAGCCCCCGGCCCAACCGGGGAGGGUCAUUGGAAACUGGGAAACUUGAGUGCAGAAGAGGAGAGUGGAAUUCCACGUGUAGCGGUGAAAUGCGUAGAGAUGUGGAGGAACACCAGUGGCGAAGGUGACUCUCUGGUCUGUAACUGACGCUGAGGAGCGAAAGCGUGGGGAGCGAACAGGAUUAGAUACCCCCGUAGUCCCUGUCUCUUAUAC